rnacentral:rRNA from 1 species
AGUGAACGCUGGCGGUAGGCCUAACACAUGCAAGUCGAACGGCAGCACAGUAAGAGCUUGCUCUUACGGGUGGCGAGUGGCGGACGGGUGAGGAAUACAUCGGAAUCUACUUUUUCGUGGGGGAUAACGUAGGGAAACUUACGCUAAUACCGCAUACGACCUACGGGUGAAAGCAGGGGAUCUUCGGACCUUGCGCGAUUGAAUGAGCCGAUGUCGGAUUAGCUAGUUGGCGGGGUAAAGGCCCACCAAGGCGACGAUCCGUAGCUGGUCUGAGAGGAUGAUCAGCCACACUGGAACUGAGACACGGUCCAGACUCCGACGGGAGGCAGCAGUGGGGAAUAUUGGACAAUGGGCGCAAGCCUGAUCCAGCCAUACCGCGUGGGUGAAGAAGGCCUUCGGGUUGUAAAGCCCUUUUGUGGGGAAAGAAAAGCAGCAGGUUAAUACCCCGCUGUUCUGACGGUACCCAAAGAAUAAGCACCGGCUAACUUCGU